AUUGAGAUGCCUGAGCAAAGGAUUAUUUUGAUAGAAUAAAUUAAGUAGAAAUCUACUCUCAUUG
rnacentral:tRNA from 1 species